CUGUAGUACACAGCUUGUUCACCACCUCUACUACAGGCCCAGUCCCAAGUAGAACAGAGCCUUUCUAUCUCCUAUUAAUGUGCCUUCUCCUCUUUCAGCUAAUAGCAUCAACACAUAAAAAAAAAAUCUGUGGAAAUAUGCAAGACAGGGCUUAGGAACUUCUGUGUGGCUUUGAUUCAGAUUUCUUAUGCACGAUCAGAAGGGUUGAGAACAGAUUUUUCUAUGUUUCUACCUCAUGGUGUCUUUUAUAGAUCUCCACCCUGUCUUGUGGCAUUUAUGAACCUGAAAGUGGUUCUUCAGAUCAUGGGCCAAGACAGCAACUCUUCCCUUUUUCUCUUUCCUUUCUUUCAGGAACUCAAGAAAGACCCAGAGGGGUUAAAUUGUCCUACCAAAAUCCCUAUGCAGGCAUCUGUCCCUGAUGGCUCAUUCAGCAUCCUCAAGUCUUCAGCAAAAAAUCCCCUGGAAGACCCUGCCCUGCAGCCCCUGGUAAGAAGGAUGUCCUCUGGGAAGGUCCAUGAACAGGAUCCUUGGAUGGGCAUGUUGUCUGUGACUCAGGAAUCUAAGAAACUCAGUGCCUGGAAAAGUCCACAUCUCUGUGCUAUAGAACAGCCACGCAGUGAAGUACUAUAGUAUUAAUGUGGGAGGCUGUGGAAAUGCCAUCCUGGAGCAUUUUAAGGACAGUUUAGAAAACAGAUAAGGAAUUACAGAUCACACAUGAAGGCAGAAGAGUCUUCCUGGACACCUGGGCAACACUGGCUG
rnacentral:lncRNA from 1 species